GAUGAAGAACGUAGCGAAAUGCGAUAAGUAGUGUGAAUUGCAGAAUUCAGUGAAUCAUCGAAUCUUUGAACGUACAUUGCGCCCCUUGGUAUUCCAUGGGGCAUGCCUGUUCGAGCGUCAUUUGUACCUUCAAGCUUUGCUUGGUGUUGGGUGUUUGUCUCGCCUUUGCGUGUAGACUCGCCUUAAAAUAAUUGGCAGCCGGCGUAUUGAUUUCGGAGCGCAGUACAUCUCGCGCUUUGCACUCAUAACGACAGCGUCCAAAAGUACAUUUUACACUCUUGACCUCGGAUCAGGUAGGGAUACCCGCUGAACUUAAACAUAUCAAUAAGCGGAGGA
rnacentral:misc_RNA from 1 species